rnacentral:rRNA from 1 species
GAUGAACGCUGGCGGCGUGCCUAAUACAUGCAAGUCGAGCGAACGGACGAGAAGCUUGCUUCUCUGAUGUUAGCGGCGGACGGGUGAGUAACACGUAGAUAACCUACCUAUAAGACUGGGAUAACUUCGGGAAACCGUAGCUAAUACCGGAUAAUAUUUUGAACCGCAUGGUUCAAAAGUGAAAGACGGUCUUGCUGUCACUUAUAGAUGGAUCCGCGCUGCAUUAGCUAGUUGGUAAGGUAACGGCUUACCAAGGCAACGAUGCAUAGCCGACCUGAGAGGGUGAUCGGCCGCACUGGAACUGAGACACGGUCCAGACUCCUACGGGAGGCAGCAGUAGGGAAUCUUCCGCAAUGGGCGAAAGCCUGACGGAGCAACGCCGCGUGAGUGAUGAAGGUCUUCGGAUCGUAAAACUCUGUUAUUAGGGAAGAACAUAUGUGUAAGUAACUGUGCACAUCUUGACGGUACCUAAUCAGAAAGCCACGGCUAACUACGUG